AGUGGCGGACGGGUGAGUAAUGCUUAGGAAUCUACCCAAUAGUUGGGGACAACAUGUGGAAACGCAUGCUAAUACCGAAUGUGCUCUACGGAGUAAAGGUGGCCUCUACUUGUAAGCUAUCGCUAUUGGAUGAGCCUAAGUGAGAUUAGCUUGUUGGUAAGGUAAAAGCUUACCAAGGCGACGAUCUCUAGCUGGUUUGAGAGGAUGAUCAGCCACACUGGGACUGAGACACGGCCCAGACUCCUACGGGAGGCAGCAGUGGGGAAUAUUGCACAAUGAGGGAAACCUUGAUGCAGCCAUGCCGCGUGUGUGAAGAAGGCCCGAGGGUUGUAAAGCACUUUCAAUUGGGAGGGAGGUAGUAUCGCUAAUAUCGAUAUUGCUUGACGUUACCUUUAGAAGAAGCACCGGCUAACUCUGUGCCAGCAGCCGCGGUAAUACAGAGGGUGCAAGCGUUAUUCGGAAUUACUGGGCGUAAAGCGCGCGUAGGCGGACUGUUAAGUCGGUUGUGAAAGCCCUGGGCUCAACCUGGGAACUGCAUCCGAUACUGGCAAUCUAGAGUUUAAGAGAGGGAAGGGGAAUUCCUAGUGUAGCAGUGAAAUGCGUAGAUAUUAGGAGGAACAUCAGUGGCGAAGGCGCCUUCCUGGCUUAAAACUGACGCUGAGGUGCGAAAGCGUGGGUAGCGAACGGGAUUAGAUACCCC
rnacentral:rRNA from 1 species